AUGAACCACUUCCAAUUGAAAAAACAAAUUAUUGUGAUUUAUGCUGCUGUCAACGGCUUCUGUGAUCAAAUGCCACUAGACAGAAUUUCUCAAUAUGAAAAAGCCGUUCUAAGUACUAUUAAUCCUGAAUUACAAAAAUCCUUCUUAGAAAAAGGUGGCUUAACUAAUGAAACAAAUAUGGAACCAAAUGCUUCUUUAAAAGAAAGCACUUUGCCUUACCUGUGA
rnacentral:rRNA from 1 species